CACACACACACCUCCUGCCCAACCUUGCCCCAAGAGUCAUAAGUCCAAGUCCUAGCCUGGUCCAACACUGUUAGGGGACUCCACUCAGGCAAGGCUUUUACUGGACCCCUGCAUUAGUGUGUUUUGUGGACUCUGAGUGGCCCCGUCUGUGUGUCAGUAGCUGAACGGGGCUGCAGUAUCCUGAAACAGAUGUAUCACUUGAACCUGUACAGACACUGGGGUAAGGCAUAGGGGUAUCAAGGGGUGCAGGCAACAUUGCUGAGCCCUGAAGCCCCUCCCAGGACACAGCCAGAACUGGACCAGAAGCUUCUCAAGACUUCUAAGAGCUUGGUUACUGUCUUCUGCAACUUGUCGGCACCAGUGGGUGGCCUUCCUCGGAGCCUCCGAACUUGGCAAAGAGCACCCAGCACUUCCUGGGGAUUCUUCUUGCAGAAAGCAGGUUUCUUCAGUGGCAGUGGGAAUGCGAACCUGUAGCCCCUUUGUAAUCAUCUGUUCAGGUGAAGUCUGAGGACACUUGGGACAGGCAGAAGAGCCUGAGAAAGAAGGACACACAGGCCCUUCACCUAGGGCAGAAAGAGAGUGGCCAAGCUAAUAGCCCCCAUCAGAGACAACUUCUACCACACACAAACCAGUUUCUCCUGUCAGCUCAUAUGUGGCACCAGAGCUAGGAGAAGCAGGCAUUUGAGAUGGUUCUGGGAAAAGCACCACUCCACGCUGAGCCUGACAAUCUU